ACGUAAAUUAGUAAAUAAUGUAAUUUUACAUUAUAAUGAGAAUUAAAGUAUUAGUAAUUUAUUUUUGUUACUAAAAUUAAAUUCAGUUUGUUCCUGCAUAAAUCUUUUUAGUACUAAACUGCUUUGGAAUGAAUUUUUUUGGGGGACAACAGCAGGAUUAGGGCCAUCUUCUAGAUGCCAUCAGGUAGGUGCGCUAGCGUAGUCCUUUGUUGUAGCAUUAUAUCCCUUUUCCUCCUUUUUGAAAAAUGUUUGUAAGACGCCUGAAAUUUGUAUAAGUUAGUUAUAUAAGUAGUUGAAUAAGAAUUGGUGAGACUGGGAAAAUAGAAGAGGACAGAGAAGAUGGAAGAGGAUUGCUUUGAAAUAGAAGGAAAGGAGAUGGAAAUGUUUGAGGAAAGGAGGAGGAUUUUGUUCGCUGUAACGGAAGUUUUUUGAAUGAAAUUUGGAGCAACUGUAUUAAGAUGUUAUUGAUAUCUUGAACAUCAAGUUUCAUUUAUUUAUGUAUUAUGCAAGCAUAUCUAUUGGUGGAAAUGUAGAAUGGCAGCUGUUAUAACAACUUGGAUGAAUUAUUAGAAGCACCAAAGAAGUUUUGACAUUUUAAUAACUGGGAAAAGGCUCACAAAUGACCAAUUUAUUCUACAUUAGAUACAGGACAUUAAAUUGACUUCAACAACGCACAUAUCUCUCAAAAAUGAUAUCUGUUCGAGUGAUGUACUGGGCGUUAACAGUUGCUGUUACAAAUUUGCAAAUGAGUUAGAACCGUACAUAAGUUUGAUGAAUGCCAGAGGAAUUUUUUGAAUGGAAUGAUACUGAAAAUCUUACACACAAAUGACAAUUUCAAGAUACAAUCAAUAGAACUCAGAUUGAUUGGCCUUCAUUACCAUUGCGCUAUGAAAAUGUCAGCAAUACAAAUUGGUAUUAAUGGACGUUUUGACAGCUGUUUCCAGUCCAAGUUCCAGUUAAUGGAAAAUCUUUAAUGGACACAGAAAAAUGCCAUUUACUGGAUUGACUUCAACACCUGUUGCCUUUUAAUAAUGUGAGCUGAACAAAUUGAUGGUAAUGGACAUUUUGACAGCUGCAGUCACAACUCAACGAACAAGUUGCAGCUUUGAAGAAAAAUUUUUGAUUGGAUACAGAAAAAUGUCAGUCGUUUCAGGAUGUAAAGUUAAUAGAACCAGGGUUAGGCUCGACAUCUGUUGCCAUUUAAUAAUGGUAUACGAAAGGACAAUUGCUAUUAGAAACAAAAAAGUUCUACUAGCUGCAACUAAUAAUUUAUGGUGGCCAUAAAAGAGAUUUAAAUGAAAUGAAACUUGUGCAGAAGAAAUCGAGGAAAACCAUUUUGAACUGCUGUUACUUAAUAGCUGUUAGAGGGGAUCCAGUUCUUCAUCAAUGGUAUACGCUGGGACAAUUGCUGUUAAAAAUCCACAGCCGUACUAUCUGCAAAUAUUAUGGUGGACAGCCAAAAGCUUUAAAUGGAAUGAAACUUGCAGGAAAAGACUCAGAAAGACCAUUAAGGACUGUACUUAAUAGUUGUUAGUGUGGUCGAAGUCCUUUGAGAAUGAUAUCUGCAUUUUCUUAACAAUGGAUAUCCAACAGUUGCUCCUACUCCUCACUUUCCUCUUUCACUCAACAUAAAGCAGACUCAAUACUCCCCAAUGCCUCACCAAGGUUCGUUAGCUUCAUUAAUAGUGUUAUUGUUUCAAUAAAUUUGUUUACUGGUUUUUAUCCUCUUACUAUAUAUAAUUAUAUCAGGCGUCAUUUUAAUGUUAAUUUUUUGUAAAAUUUUGAUAAUCUGGAUAGAACCCUUUUUUUCUUAAGCUUUUGCAAUAUAAAACACUAGUUAAGAGCAAUACACUUCACUUUAUGAAUAGGGCCAUUAUCUCUGUUGAUAUUGUCUUUAUAUUUAUGCUUUGUGUUGCCUCUAGUUUGAGGGAUGUUUGAUUAAUUUUAAAUCAUUCAAAUCAAUGCAAUAAUCUUUUAUCUUAUAUUUACUUCCAUUAGUUCAAUCAUUAAAUUGUUAUUAGAUAAAACUAUAUUGUAUUCUGGAUUUCGUCAAAGGUAUUUUUUAAAAGAAUUAAAAAACAAUCUUUAUAGGCUCAUUUCCAAUUUAUUUUUAUCUUGUAUUAUUUAUAUUUUUCGAAGCUUCUCUAAGUUUAUUCCAGAUUAUCAAAAUUAUAAUUUUUAUACUUGCGCAGCUGCGUCACUAUAGUCCUAUGAACACAAGUAUUAUUUUGGUUUUAAAGUUUAUGUUUUUUAAUAUUUCAUUUAUUGUAUUAACGCAAAACUAAAUUUUAUAGAAUUUAACUAACUAUAUCUUCAACCGGAUGAUAAUUUAAUAGCUAAUGGUCAAUUUAAUAUUUUUUCAUAAAAAUUAAAUGUGAUUAUUGAAUACCAAUAUCAAGCCGGUAGAAAUUAUUUAUCAGUGUUUAUUUUUUUGAAAUAAUUUUUUUAUUAAAUCAAUUUUGGAUACUUGUGUUCAUAUAUUUUUUUUUGCUUUUGAGAAUUAUUUUUGGCACCCUAACAGAUGUUUUUAAUUAAUUUAUAUGAUUUUAAAACAUUUAUGUUUAUAUCUAUUUUGUACUUAAAUUUUAGUGAUAAAGUUUGUUUCUUUAACACAGAGAGCAAUGCACUUCAUGCAUUGUUUUCUUUUUCAUGUGCAGAAUUCUCUUUAUAUACAGUAUGUCCUCAGAACGUCUUUACAAGAGCAAAAGCCUUUUUUUAUUAACAUUUUCAUAAAAAAUACAUUCCUUAUAAAAUAUUUUUCUUUUUAAUAUUUUCAUUUCAAUUUUUUUAACAAAUAUAUUGUGAGCACACAUUUUAAAAUUAUUUUUGGUAGAUAUACUGUGCGAUUCAAGUAUAUUUAUACUAAAAUUGUAUUUUUUUUAAUGCAAUGUUUUUUUAAUGUAUGUACUAAUUAAUAUACCACUAUAAUCCAUCAAAAUUGCUUAAAUUAAUUAUUUUAGAAGAGUUCAAUUGAAAAUAAAUACAUGAAUUUUAACCUUUAGUAUUACUGGUUGCCUAAUCGAUUCUUAUGUAAUGUUGUGGUAAUGUUUUUAUUACUUAAAAAAAAUAUAUUUCCAGAAGUAAUUUUUUCUCUCAAUUUUAGUAGGUAUUUAAAAUGUCUCUAUCCUGUCAUAUUUAUUUAACAUAUCUAUUAGACCUCUAUGACCCAUCUGUCUCUGAAAAAUACAAACUGCUGUUUGCUAUGUGUUAAUAAAACCGUUACACUUGCGUUUAAGAUAAUUAAUUACAUCUUAUCUUUUUAAUUGCUAUAUAAUUUUUUUAUAAAAUAUGAAACAAACUUUAUCUUCUAAAAUUUAUGAAUUUUACAUAUGAAAAUGGUCUGCUAGGGUAUAUAAUAUAUAUAUUGUAGGAUCAAUUGAAAUAUAAUAAGCGAUAAUAUAAAAAUUAACAUUUGUAUAUACAUAUUUGUUAAAUAUAUAAUUUUAAGAUAAAACACAUUGUUACACAAAAAUGAUAAUUCUAGUUUUAUAUGUGGCAUAUCUUUUUUCAGUUGGUCCUUCAACAUUUGAAAUCUUUUGACAUAUAUUUCAUUCCACUUAAAUGUCACAAAAAAUAUAUUUUAAUACCAAUUUUGUAUGUUAUUUCGUGUAUUAGAAUUUUAUAAAUACUGUUUUUAAUAUUUUGUUAAUAAUAGUGAUCUAUAGCUUACCUUUGCUAUCUGUAAUAGGAAAUAUUUCUAAAUAUUUUUUGUUGAAAAUAAAUAUUACUUUAUAACAUUUAUUAAGCAAAAUAAAUUUGAAGAUCCCUAUUAUUAUCAAAGAGAUAUCAUUAAAGUAUUUCAAUACAAUAUCUUUUUAUAUUAUUUUCAAACGUCACAAAACCGGACAAAACUAUUAAUUUUUGCGACAUGAUGACAACAAAGAUUGACAUAUAAAAAAGUAAUUAUUACGCUUAAACACAAAAGUGCAAAAAUUAUUAUUAAACUGUUAG
rnacentral:lncRNA from 1 species